UCUUUAGUAAUUGCGAAUGAACAAGGAUAUGCUUAGCUUGACAAAUGGAGCUAUUGGCUUUGAAUUGUAUUGUGGAAAUGUAUUACCAACAGAGGUGCAGGUGCCAGCCUAUUGAAAUAAAGCGUCAAUGAGGGUGAGAAUCCUGUUUGUCAUGUGCAGCCCUUUGUGCACGGUGUAUAUUUGCUGAGUCACACUCCUUGGCAUUGGAAUGCAAAGUGGGUGGUAAGUUUCAUGUAAAGGUAAACAUGCAAUUGAGACUGAUAGCACACAAGUACCAUGAGGGAAAUAUGAAAAGGACUUUGAAAAGAGAAUUAAAUGAGUUUGUAUUUGCUGAACACAAAGUAAACAGACUUGAUUUGCUUGGUGGGAGUGUUGCACUUGCUUGACAAGAGCUUUGGGCUGUGGGUGUAAUGAUUCUUUCUUUGCAUGCCAGUUUCUAUUUGUACAUCUGAUUACCUUUGCACAUGAAUGAUAAGUCUCCUGUGGGGGGUGGAUUGCAUGUGCAUGUAAUGAUUUGUGUUUUGAUAAAUGUGUCUGGUGUAUGUGUGUGUUCCUGUGCUUGGGGAUGCUUCCUUCCUUGGACUUACAAGCCCUGACACACACAUGCUGGCAAAAUGCUUCUGCUUGACCCGUCUUGAAACACGGACCAAGGAGUCUAACAGAUGUGCAAAGUUUGAAGGUGGUAUACCUUUGUGUGCAAUGAAAGUGUCAGCUGGGAUAUGUGCACCAGCACCCAAUUAAUUAGCGGACAGAGGUUUGAGUUGGAGCAUAUCUAUUAGGACCCGAAAGAUGGUGAACUAUGCCUGAACAGAAUGAAUUCAGAGGAAACUCUGAUGGAGGUUCGUAUCGAUACUGACGUGCAAAUCGUUCGUCAUAUUUGGGUAUAGGGGCGAAAGACUAAUCGAACCAUCUAGUAGCUGGUUCCCUCCGAAGUUUCCCUCAGGAUAGCUGGAGUUGCUCAGUUUUAUCAGGUAAAGCGAAUGAUUAGAGGAAUUGGGGACAGGUUUGUCUUUGACCUAUUCUCAAACUUUAAAUGGGUAAUAUGUAGUGGUUGCUGUAUGGAACUUCUAAGAUAAAUGGCAAUAUUGGGUGGGCCA
rnacentral:rRNA from 1 species